rnacentral:rRNA from 1 species
CCGUCUUGAAACACGGACCAAGGAGUCUAGCAUGUGCGCGAGUCAUUGGGAACGCUGAUAAACCCAGAGGCGAAAUGAAAGUGAAAGGUCGGCCUCGAGCCGAUCGCAGGGAAGAUGCGCGGACGGCCCCCGCCGUCCCGCCGCAUUCCCGAGGCGUUUCGAGAAAGCCCCCGUGCGACUAUCGAGACGCACUGAGAGCGUACACGCUGGGACCCGAAAGAUGGUGAACUAUGCCUGGUCAGGUCGAAGUCAGGGGA